CCCUUAGAUGUUCUGGGCCGCACACGCGCUACACUGAAGGAGGCAGCGUGUACUCCUGGAUCGAAAGAUUUGGGUAACCCGCGAAUCUCCUUCGUGCUAGGGAUUGAGGUUUGCAAUUAUCCUUCAUGAACGAGGAAUUCCCAGUAAGUGCAAGUCAUAAGCUUGCGCUGACUACGUCCCUGCCCUUUGUACACACCGCCCGUCGCUACUACCGAUUGAAUGAUUCAGUGAGGACUUCGGACUGGGACCGAUGCGGCUUUCGGGCUGCGUCGGUAUUCUGGAAAGAUGUCCAAACUGUAUCAUUUAGAGGAAGUAAAAGUCGUAACA
rnacentral:rRNA from 1 species